GCUUCUGUAGUCUAAUGGUAGGACAUCUCCGUGAAUGUGAAAAGCUAAGUUGUAGCGUUAUGGAGGAGUCGAGGGUUCGAAUCUCUCCGGAAGCU